GACGAGCCACACGAACGUUAUUCGGAAUUACUGGGCUUAAAGGGUGCGUAGGCUGCGCGGAAAGUUGGGUGUGAAAUCCCUCGGCUCACCGAGGAACUGCGCCCAAAACUACCGUGCUCGAGGAAGAUAGAGGUAAGCGGAACUUACGGUGGAGCGGUGAAAUGCGUUGAUAUCGUAAGGAACACCUGUGGCGAAAGCGGCUUACUGGGUCUUUCUGACGCUGAUGCACGAAAGCUAGGGGAGCAAACGGGAGUUAGAAUGAUCCC
rnacentral:rRNA from 1 species